AUAGUGGCAUUGUAGAAGAUCUGAUUCCACUGUUUGACAUCAAUUGUCGGGAAGAAGAGGGUUUGACACCUUUGAUGGGAGCAGCUGGGUUUGGGAAGAAGGAUGUUGUCGACCUGCUCGUGUCAAAGGGAGCUGAUCUUACACUAAGAGAUGACAAAAAUAACACCCUCCUUCAUCUAGCAUGUCAGGGUGGAAAUAGUGGCAUUGUAGAAGAUAUGCUUCCACUGUUUGACAUCAAUUGUCGGGGAGAAGAGGGUUGGACUCCUUUGAUGGCAGCAGCUUUCUGUGGGAA